AGAAAGAGAUGUGAGCGUGGUAGUGUGAGAGGGAGGAGAGGCUGGAAGGGCGCGUGGAGCGUGCCUGUGCGUGGUGCGCGUGAGUGAGUGAGUGUGUGUGUGUGAGAGAGAGAGGCGGGCGAGUGAGUCCCCGCGCUGCGACGUUUUCUUUUCCUGAUACACGAUGAUCUUAUUUGAUCGGGGCGAGGGGCCCGCCGCCGCGUUCUCGCCCCGAAAUGAGAAGAACCCCUUCCCGUGAAGCCCUCUCGAAGGGCGCUGUACGGAGACGCUGGUCCACCGAGCCGGCGGCAGGUUCUGAGUCGGAAGUGAUGAAUUGAUCAGAUAGAUGAGGCCCCGAGGCUGGGACUCCCCUCCUCUCGGCCGAUGUGUAUCGAGGCGAUUCUGAUCCGA